GGAGCUACUUGUGCUCAAAUCUAAGUCCGAAGUUAGCUUCUAGGAUGAAACGUGUGGAAUGUCCCUAUGUUUUUAUUUUUUAUUUUUUAUAUGGACCCACCGUGAUGUGUAUGUGAAAUCCACUUUGACCAUUACAUUUGCCUUCGGUUGUUAGGCCUAGGGCUAGAAAAUUAGGCUACCCCCAUGAUUCAAGUGGGCCACACCAAAGGAAACAGUUGGGAGAGACGUGCACUGUUGAUUUUUUUAUGGGGCCCACCAUGAUGAUUGUAUGAAAUCCAUGCAAACCGUUAGAUGCCGCAAAACAGUUUAGCCCUGGGUCCAAAAAUCAGACCCAUCCUUGAUUCAUGUGGGUCACACCAAGGGAAACAAUUUAGAGGGUAGGUGUCGUCCUGUAUAGUCUCCAAUUGUGAAGUCCACCUAAACCACGGAUGUGGCUGGUUUUUCAGCCCCACGCCUAAAAUUAGCUCAAUUACCUAGCGGUUAGAGUGGAUGUUUGAAAUACAUGAUUGCGGGGCCCACCCAAGCUAGACCACCCAUUUACCUAAAUUGCUUUUUCUCAAUGCCAUUUACAGAUAGAUCACAUGUCGACCAUGUUAGUAUGUUGCUACUGGAAAAGCUCUGUGGGCCCACCAUGAUAUAUGUGUUUUAUCCACGCUGUCCAUCCAUUUUGCUAGCUCAUUUUAGGGCAUGAGCCCAAAAAUGGGGUAGA